rnacentral:rRNA from 1 species
UACGGAGGGGGCUAGCGUUAUUCGGAAUUACUGGGCGUAAAGCGUGCGUAGGUGGUUUUUUAAGUCCGUUGUGAAAGCCCUGGGCUCAACCUGGGAAUGGCAGUGGAUACUGGAAAGCUAGAGUGCGGUAGAGGGUAGUGGAAUUCCCGGUGUAGCAGUGAAAUGCGUAGAGAUCGGGAGGAACACCAGUGGCGAAGGCGGCUACCUGGACCAGCACUGACACUGAGGCACGAAAGCGUGGGGAGCAAACAGG